rnacentral:rRNA from 1 species
UGGCGGACGGGUGAGUAACGCGUGGAAAACCUGCCGUAUACUGGGGGAUAACACUUAGAAAUAGGUGCUAAUACCGCAUAAGCGCACAGCUUCGCAUGAAGCGGUGUGAAAAACCCUGGUGGUAUACGAUGGUUCCGCGUCUGAUUAGCUAGUUGGUGGGGUAAUGGCCUACCAAGGCAACGAUCAGUAGCCGGCCUGAGAGGGUGAACGGCCACAUUGGGACUGAGACACGGCCCAAACUCCUACGGAAGGCAGCAG